rnacentral:rRNA from 1 species
ACGGGUGAGUAAUACUUAGGAAUCUGCCUAUUAAUGGGGGACAACAUCUCGAAAGGAACGCUAAUACCGCAUACGUCCUACGGGAGAAAGCAGGGGACCUUCGGGCCUUGCGCUAUCAGAUGAGCCUAGGUCGGAUUAGCUAGUUGGUGAGGUAAUGGCUCACCAAGGCGACGAUCCGUAACUGGUCUGAGAGGAUGAUCAGUCACACUGGAACUGAGACACGGUCCAGACUCCUACGGGAGGCAGCAGUGGGGAAUAUUGGACAAUGGGCGAAAGCCUGAUCCAGCCAUGCCGCGUGUGUGAAGAAGGUCUUCGGAUUGUAAAGCACUUUAAGUUGGGAGGAAGGGUUGUAGAUUAAUACUCUGCAAUUUUGACGUUACCGACAGAAUAAGCACCGGCUAACUCUGUGCCAGCAGCCGCGGUAAUACAGAGGGUGCAAGCGUUAAUCGGAAUUACUGGGCGUAAAGCGCGCGUAGGUGGUUCGUUAAGUUGGAUGUGAAAUCCCCGGGCUCAACCUGGGAACUGCAUCCAAAACUGGCGAGCUAGAGUAUGGUAGAGGGUGGUGGAAUUUCCUGUGUAGCGGU